rnacentral:rRNA from 1 species
UGGGGAAUUUUGCACAAUGGAGGAAACUCUGAUGCAGCGACGCCGCGUGAGUGAUGAAGAUCUUCGGAUUGUAAAACUCUGUCCUUAGUGAAGAUAAUGACAGUAACUAAGAAGCAAGCCCUGGCUAAAUACGUGCCAGCAGCCGCGGUAAUACGUAUGGGGCAAGCGUUGUCCGGAAUUAUUGGGCGUAAAGGGUACGUAGGCGGUUUAAUAAGUCCUAAUUAAAAGGCUAUGGCUCAACCAUAGUAUGGUUAGGAAACUGUUGAACUUGAGUAGAUGGGGGGAAAGUGGAAUUCCAUGUGUAGCGGUGAAAUGCGUAGAUAUAUGGAGGAACACCAAUGGCGAAGGCAACUUUCUGGAAUCAAACUGACGCUGAGGUACGAAGGCGUGGGGAGCAAACAGG